rnacentral:rRNA from 1 species
UACGUAGGUGGCGAGCGUUUGUCCGGAUUUACUGGGCGUAAAGAGCGCGCAGGCGGCUGGUCAAGUCCGAUGUGAAAGCUCCCGGCUUAACUGGGAAAUUGUAUCGGAAACUGAUCGGCUGGAAGGUGGGAGAGGGUAGCGGAAUUCCCGGUGUAGUGGUGAAAUGCGUAGAUAUCGGGAGGAACACCAGUGGCGAAAGCGGCUACCUGGCCCCAUUCGUUGACGCUGAGGCUGCGGAAAGCUAGGGGAGCAAACAGGGG